GAUGAACGCUAGCUACAGGCUUAACACAUGCAAGUCGAGGGGAAACGACAUCGAAAGCUUGCUUUUGAUGGGCGUCGACCGGCGCACGGGUGAGUAACGCGUAUCCAACCUGCCCACCACUUGGGGAUAACCUUGCGAAAGUAAGACUAAUACCCAAUGAUAUCUCUAGAAGACAUCUGAAAGAGAUUAAAGAUUUAUCGGUGAUGGAUGGGGAUGCGUCUGAUUUGCUUGUUGGCGGGGUAACGGCCCACCAAGGCUACGAUCAGUAGGGGUUCUGAGAGGAAGGUCCCCCACAUUGGAACUGAGACACGGUCCAAACUCCUACGGGAGGCAGCAGUGAGGAAUAUUGGUCAAUGGACGAAAGUCUGAACCAGCCAAGUAGCGUGCAGGAUGACGGCCCUAUGGGUUGUAAACUGCUUUUAUAAGGGAAUAAAGUGAGUCUCGUGAGACUUUUUGCAUGUACCUUAUGAAUAAGGACCGGCUAAUUCCGUGCCAGCCGCCGCAGUAA
rnacentral:rRNA from 1 species